GCCAAAACUCUAGCUCACUUACCAACAAAUAUUUAUAUAACUUAACCUAAAACAUUUAAAUUCUAAAGUAUAGGCGAUAGAAAAAGAUUACUGAAGCAAUAAAAAUAGUACCGCAAGGGAAUGAUGAAAUAAAAAUGAAAUAAAUUUUUAAGCACUAUAAAGUAGAGAUUAACACUCGUACCUUUUGCAUCAUGGUUUAACUAGUUAACCCAAGCAAAAAGAAUUUUAGUUUGCCCUCCCGAAACUAAGCGAGCUACCUCGGGGCAACUUCACGAGUUAACCCUUCUCUGUGGCAAAAGAGUGGGAAGACCCCUAAGUAGCGGUGACAGACCUAACGAGCUUAGUGAUAGCUGGUUACUCAGGAAAAGAAUUUUAGUUCCGCCUUAUAAGCACACGACUCAUCAAAGUCAAAAUUACCUCAUAAGAGUAAUUCUAUAGGGGAACAGCCCUAUUGAAAAAGGACACAACCUUCAUAACAGGGUAAUGAUUAUAUUAUCUAAGGCUAUAGGAUAAGUGGGCUUAAAAGCAGCCACCUUAAAAGAAAGCGUUACAGCUCCACCUAAUUAACCCAACAAUACCAAUAUAACCUCAAAACCCGAACUAAUACUGAGUUAUUCUAUAUCCUUAUAGAACUAAUUAUGUUAAAACUAGUAACACAGAAACCAACUUUCUCUUGUAUGUAAACGUAAAUCAGAUUGAAUAACUCACUGAUAAUUAACAGCUUUUAUGAAAUAAAUGUAGUAACCAAUCAAGAAAAUUCUACUUUAACUACUGUUAACCUAACACAAGAACAUAUCAAGAAAGAUUUAAAGAUACAGAAGGAACUCGGCAAAUAUUUAAGCCCCGCCUGUUUACCAAAAACAUCGCCUCUUGAAUUACAUAAGAGGUCCCGCCUGCCCAGUGACUUUGUUCAACGGCCGCGGUAUUCUGACCGUGCGAAGGUAGCGUAAUCACUUGUCCUUUAAAUAAGGACUAGUAUGAAUGGCAUCACGAGGGCUUUACUGUCUCCUAUAUCUAAUCAGUGAAACUGAUCUCCCCGUGAAGAAGCGAGGAUUUUUACAUAAGACGAGAAGACCCCAUGGAGCUUUAAACCAAAAUCAAUUACUUUUUAAUAUUAACCUGCGGGCCCACUCAACAGCUAAGUAAUACUGACCUAGGUUUUCGGUUGGGGCGACCACGGAGAAUAAAACAUCCUCCUUGAUGAAUGAACAUUUCUUAACCAAGAGCUACAGCUCUAAGUAAUAAAAUAUUUAACUUACAUUGAUCCAAUCUUAUUGAUCAACGAACCAAGUUACCCUGGGGAUAACAGCGCAAUCCAUUUCAAGAGUUCAUAUCGACAAAUGGGUUUACGACCUCGAUGUUGGAUCAGGGCAUCCCAGUGGUGCAGCCGCUACUAAAGGUUCGUUUGUUCAACGAUUAAAGCCCUACGUGAUCUGAGUUCAGACCGGAGUAAUCCAGGUCAGUUUCUAUCUAUGCAGAACUUCUUCUAGUACGAAAGGACCGAAGAAGUAGAGCCAAUUUCUAAUCAAGCUCUAGUUUUUUAUUAGUGAAACAAUCUAAACUAAAAUUAAACCUCAUAAUUAACCUAAGAUAAAGGUG
rnacentral:rRNA from 1 species